ensembl:lncRNA
GGCAGGCUUUGAUGGGGGCGUAAGUGAUCAUUAACAGCUGUAAUCACAGGAAGAUGAAGACACUCAAGAAGAAGAGCAUUUCAGGGUGAUCCCCUACCAGAGAUGGCACCCUUGCUGCCUGCAUUGGGAGCUUGGAGUCUUAACCACUGGACUGCCAGGGAAGUCCCUGUAAUCUCACCUUUAAAAUGAGAAGUACCAGGAGUUCUUUUUUGCUGCUCAGUGUCACUGGUUCUCAGGAGAACAAGGUGAAGUCUUCAUGAGAAUAGUCUCUUCCAGUUUGGCAUGAGGGCUGUGCAGAGCAGCAUUUCUGAAGCUCCCGGGCAAGUUAUAUUUGCCAAAACAAAGCGUGGGCGGAAGGUAGCAGGAAAGAACUGGCUGGUAGCACUUUCUACCUGGGAAAAUGCUGCCAAAGAGGAAUCCGCAACAGAAGUGCCGAGGAAAAAGCACUCGACUCUCCACAAAGAUUGAAGCAUAGCAAACAUUAGACAACACCAAACUUGUUUGGGCUUCCCAAGAUUUCAUUUUUGUUCUUUUUAUGCUCAAUAAAGCCUGUGUUUGGUG